rnacentral:lncRNA from 1 species
CGCCAUUGCUCCAAUGUCUCGAUCGAUCAUCAGGUGAAUCAAUGAAAUAUUUCCAGGAGCUGAGAUCCUCCCAGGCAUAGCAAGCGCUGCGAUUUCGUCUUGUGCGCGAUCAACUGGUCCCUACGAAGAAAUCGCUUGGCAGCGGAGCGAUGUAGAACCGGGGUGCUCGAUCGCUCCCUGGAGGUACGGUAUUUCGAGCAAUCGAGCUAGUUGCUACUUAGAUCUCGUGAGUGCUUCCGAAAAAAAAUCCUAGCUCCAAAAGAAUUUCUUAUUUCCUCCAUCCAGCUUGUGUUCUCGCUUGCUCGAUCCUUCAUCCAGCUUGUUUUCUCCUUGUCUUCUCUCUUUCUCGUUCCUCCAUCCAGCUUGUGCUUCCUUAUUCAAAACCAAUCAUUUUUAUUGUACAAUGUUUUCUUCCUCUCACUCACUCACAACUGACGAUUCAGCAGGAUGGCAAGGACGAUCGCCGCGAUCAACUUGGAGUGGACGAGGAACGAGCCAGCAGCACCGCUACAGUCGGCUCUCUCGAAUCCAACUCUCGAUCUCUCGUUGUCAUACUCCACGAGGUAAUUGCUCUGCUGGUAGUUUCCCAGUACGUUGAUCUUGCCAAAACCACUUUUCUGGGAGCUUAGGAUCGCCAGGCACACCGUAACUUCGUUGCCGGCAGCCGAGACCGGCACGAACAGAUGCUCGAAGCGGAGCUCCAGCCUGACAUUGUUCUGCAGCGACAGCCUCA